GCGGGCGACCGAGCGCCUCAGAAGGCCUCGAAGUCGCCAGCCGCCUUGGUCAGCGGCUGCGAAUGCCCAUGCCGGAGGAUACCGCU
rnacentral:sRNA from 1 species